UUAAAUCUUACAAUAUGAUUCUUCGAUCUUUAAGUCCAAUAUCUAUACAGAAUUAAGCAUCCCGCCAUCACAUCAAGUUUCUUUACCCUCGUUGUCUUGUGCUUUCGUCCCUAUUGCAAGUUUCUUUCCCAGGUAGAAAACAUCAAUUCAUAACAUUCUGGAAGAUUCAUCCAUAUCUUUUUAGUCUUGCAAGUUAGGGAUUUUGAGUGAUGUCUAUUGUUGGAUUUUCCUUUCUAUGAUGUGAUCCUACCAUUUUAUCCACCCUUGAUAUUUUCAUUUCUUCUAUUUUGCAGUGUUUCUUUUUGUGGAUUUGUACGGACAAGAUUAGUCAAAUUUAGCGUUCCUGGUUCAUUACAUUUAGCUUCGGUCAUGUCUAAAUGCAAGUUCAUGGAUGAUUCACUAGAUUCAUGCUCUUCCCACACCAUGUCACAGUCAACCUCGGCUCCAGAAAGAAUCUCAACCCAUGUUCAUGUUUGAUUGGAGGCUGAAAGUCGCUUCAACGCUUGUGCUGCUGUCACUUGGCAAUGAUCAAUGAAAGCAGAAACGGGAGAUAUGUUGUUGUUUAGAAUCAUGAUGCCUUUGUGAAUUUAUUAGAAAAUAUUAUAUUAAUAAAGCAUUUGUAUUUUUA